rnacentral:rRNA from 1 species
GACGAACGCUGGCGGCGUGCCUAAUACAUGCAAGUAGAACGCUGAAGAGAGGAGCUUCCUCUUCUUGGAUGAGUUGCGAACGGGUGAGUAACGCGUAGGUAACCUGCCUUGUAGCGGGGGAUAACUAUUGGAAACGAUAGCUAAUACCGCAUAACAAUGGAUGACACAUGUCAUUUAUUUGAAAGGGGCAAUUGCUCCACUACAAGAUGGACCUGCGUUGUAUUAGCUAGUAGGUGAGGUAAUGGCUCACCUAGGCGACGAUACAUAGCCGACCUGAGAGGGUGAUCGGCCACACUGGGACUGAGACACGGCCCAGAACCCCACGGGAGGCAGCAGUAGGGAAUCUUCGGCAAUGGGGGCAACCCUGACCGAGCAACGCCGGGUGAGUGAAGAAGGUUUUCGGAUCGUAAAGCUCUGUUGUAAGUCAAGAACGGGUGUGAGAGUGGAAAGUUCACACUGUGACGGUAGCUUACCAGAAAGGGACGGCUAACUACGUG